UUAGACUACCCCGGUAGUCCCAGCCGUAAACUAUGCGCGUUAGGUGUAUCCGGUGACCACGAGUCACCGAGGUGCCGAAGGGAAACCGUGAAACGUGCCGCCUGGGAAGUACGGUCGCAAGGCUGAAACUUAAAGGAAUUGGCGGGGAGCACCACAACGGGUGGAGCCUGCGGUUUAAUUGGACUCAACGCCGGGAAGCUCACCGGAUAAGACAGCGGAAUGAUUGCCGGGCUGAAGACUCUGCAUGACUAGCUG
rnacentral:rRNA from 1 species